AGAGUUCGAUCCUGGCUCAGGAUGAACGCUGGCGGCGCGCCUAACACAUGCAAGUCGAACGGCACCCCUCUCCGGAGGGAAGCGAGUGGCGAACGGCUGAGUAACACGUGGAGAACCUGCCCCCUCCCCCGGGAUAGCCGCCCGAAAGGACGGGUAAUACCGGAUACCCCGGGGUGCCGCAUGGCACCCCGGCUAAAGCCCCGACGGGAGGGGAUGGCUCCGCGGCCCAUCAGGUAGACGGCGGGGUGACGGCCCACCGUGCCGACAACGGGUAGCCGGGUUGAGAGACCGACCGGCCAGAUUGGGACUGAGACACGGCCCAGACUCCUACGGGAGGCAGCAGUGGGGAAUCUUGCGCAAUGGGGGGAACCCUGACGCAGCGACGCCGCGUGCGGGACGGAGGCCUUCGGGUCGUAAACCGCUUUCAGCAGGGAAGAGUCAAGACUGUACCUGCAGAAGAAGCCCCGGCUAACUACGUGCCAGCAGCCGCGGUAAUACGUAGGGGGCGAGCGUUAUCCGGAUUCAUUGGGCGUAAAGCGCGCGUAGGCGGCCCGGCAGGCCGGGGGUCGAAGCGGGGGGCUCAACCCCCCGAAGCCCCCGGAACCUCCGCGGCUUGGGUCCGGUAGGGGAGGGUGGAACACCCGGUGUAGCGGUGGAAUGCGCAGAUAUCGGGUGGAACACCGGUGGCGAAGGCGGCCCUCUGGGCCGAGACCGACGCUGAGGCGCGAAAGCUGGGGGAGCGAACAGGAUUAGAUACCCUGGUAGUCCCAGCCGUAAACGAUGGAUACUAGGUGU
rnacentral:rRNA from 1 species